rnacentral:rRNA from 1 species
UACGAAGGGGGCUAGCGUUUGUUCGGAAUUACUGGGCGUAAAGCGCACGUAGGCGGAUCGAUCAGUCAGGGGUGAAAUCCCAGGGCUCAACCCUGGAACUGCCUUUGAUACUGUCGAUCUGGAGUAUGGAAGAGGUGAGUGGAAUUCCGAGUGUAGAGGUGAAAUUCGUAGAUAUUCGGAGGAACACCAGUGGCGAAGGCGGCUCACUGGUCCAUUACUGACGCUGAGGUGCGAAAGCGUGGGGAGCAAACAGGG